rnacentral:rRNA from 1 species
GGGUUGUGAGGUUAAGCGACUAAGCGUACACGGUGGAUGCCCUGGCAGUCAGAGGCGAUGAAGGACGUGCUAAUCUGCGAUAAGCGUCGGUAAGGUGAUAUGAACCGUUAUAACCGGCGAUUUCCGAAUGGGGAAACCCAGUGUGAUUCGUCACACUAUCAUUACGUGAAUACAUAGCGUAAUGAAGCGAACCGGGGGAACUGAAACAUCUAAGUACCCCGAGGAAAAGAAAUCAACCGAGAUUCCCCCAGUAGCGGCGAGCGAACGGGGAGCAGCCCAGAGUCUGAAUCAGCUUGUGUGUUAGUGGAACGGUCUGGAAAGUCCGACGGUACAGGGUGAUAGUCCCGUACACCAAAAUGCACAGGUUGUGAACUCGAAGAGUAGGGCGGGACACGUGGUAUCCUGUCUGAAUAUGGGGGGACCAUCCUCCAAGGCUAAAUACUCCUGACUGACCGAUAGUGAACCAGUACCGUGAGGGAAAGGCGAAAAGAACCCCGGCGAGGGGAGUGAAAAAGAACCUGAAACCGUGUACGUACAAGCAGUGGGAGCACCUUCGGGUGUGACUGCGUACCUUUUGUAUAAUGGGUCAGCGACUUAUAUUCUGUAGCAAGGUUAACCG